rnacentral:rRNA from 1 species
GUUCUUGUUAAGGUUGAUUUUUGUAAAUAUAAUAUGUUGGAUUAAUAUUAUGAGUGAGGAUUAAGGAGUUUUUAUAGGUUAAUAGUACUGUUGAGGAAAUAUGUUGGUUUAUUAAAAAUAUUAGGUUGUUUAGUACCUUUUGUAUUAGGGUUUUUCAAUGUAUAAAAAUAUUUAUUUGUUCUCGAUGAAUAUCGGGCUAUUUUUUUGGAAUUAUUUCUGUUGAAUAAGAUUAAUUAUGGAUUAAUAGUUAUGAAAUAUUAUUCAAGUUAUUUUUUAUCUAGUUUUCUGAGAAAUAUAAUUUAAGAUAUAAAUAUUAUUAAGGUAUGUUGGGAUUAGCUAGCUUAUUUUUUAUAUGAGGAUAUGUUUUGUUUUAUUAGUGAAGUUAAAAGUUCUUAGUUAUAUUAUGUUAUUAUAAAUUAGGUUUAAUUUUUAUUAUUUUUUGGUGUUAUGUGAAGAUUGGAAAGGUUAAUAAAAUUUGAAUUUAAUGUUAUAAUGAUAAAAUUAGUAAUAUUUGAUUUUAUGAAUUAGGUUAAUGAAGUUUUUUGUUAAUAAAAAUUGAAAGAUUAAUAUUGAAGAAUUCGGCAAUAUGAGCUUUUGACUGUUUAGCAAAAACAUUGUUUUUUGUUAAGGUAAGAAAUAAGGUCUGUCCACUGCUUUAUAGUGAAGGGCUGCAGUAUUUUGACUGUAUGAAGGUAGCAUAAUCAUUAGUUUUUUAAUUGGAAGCUGGUAUGAAGGUGAAACAGAGGCUUGCUAUUUUGGUAUUAAUUAAUGAAUUUUAUUUUUGUGUGAAAAAUCAUAAGUGGGUAAAAGGGACAAGAAGACCCUAGUAAGUUUUAUUUUUAAUUAUGAGGGGUAUGUAGUUUAUUAAAUUAAUAUUAUUUAUAGUUUAGGAGUUUGACUGGGGCGGUAUAUAAUUAAACAUUAUAUAAUUUUUAAUUUUUGGGAGCGGAGCUUAGACCUAAGGUGGUUAGCUUAAGGUUAAAUUACUGUAGGGAUAACAGCGUGAUUUUUUUUAAGAGUUCUUAUUGACGGAAAA